GACGAACGCUGGCGGCGUGCCUAAUACAUGCAAGUAGAACGCUGAAGGAGGAGCUUGCCCUUCUGGAUGAGUUGCGAACGGGUGAGUAACGCGUAGGUAACCUGCCUGGUAGCGGGGGAUAACUAUUGGAAACGAUAGCUAAUACCGCAUAACAGUAGAUGUUGCAUGACAUUUACUUAAAAGGUGCAAUUGCAUCACUACCAGAUGGACCUGCGUUGUAUUAGCUAGUUGGUGGGGUAACGGCUCACCAAGGCGACGAUACAUAGCCGACCUGAGAGGGUGAUCGGCCACACUGGGACUGAGACACGGCCCAGACUCCUACGGGAGGCAGCAGUAGGGAAUCUUCGGCAAUGGACGGAAGUCUGACCGAGCAACGCCGCGUGAGUGAAGAAGGUUUUCGGAUCGUAAAGCUCUGUUGUAAGAGAAGAACGAGUGUGAGAGUGGAAAGUUCACACUGUGACGGUAUCUUACCAGAAAGGGACGGCUAACUACGUG
rnacentral:rRNA from 1 species